rnacentral:snRNA from 1 species
GGAUGUUGGAGUCAACAUCUGCCACCCCAUUGAUCACCAGAGUUGAUUUGGCUGAUCUGGCUGGUUAUGUGGGUGUCCCCUUCCUCCUUCACCACUCAAUGGGCAUUCCUUCCAAAGCUGCCCGCUCAGUCAAAGAAGACAACCUUUACCGAUAGUAGACUUGUAGGAGAGCAUACAGAAUGUUGUAACGGUGUUGUCAAGUUUUAAUGUUUAAUGUGUCAAGUUUAUUGUAUUUUUUCAUGAUAAAAAUAAUAAAACUCAUUGAAGUGUAUGUGAAAAGUACAUAAAAGUUAAAGGAUAAAUAGCAGGUAUAUCUGAGACGCACAAUUUCAGGGAAUGUUUGCUUCUGGUU